UCUCUCUCCAGGGCAGGGAGGUUAGGCCCACAGUCAGACCCUUUCUGUGACACUCCCAUCUUGCCCUGGGUGUGGAUAGGGAGGUUAGGCCCACAGUCUUUCUGUGGGCACUCUGUCAAUUUUACUGGGUGUGGAAUGCGAGUUGAGGCAAGUUGUGUAUAAAUCAUGGGAACAUAGGUCAUUGAAGUCUAUUGAUCUAAAAGGACCUAAGUUGUCCAUGAACAUAACCAGAUCCACUGCCCGGGCCAAGCACCGAGCUAAGGACUGCACACUUCUCACUUUUGGAUCUUCCCAGAGAGACUGAGAGAGCAUAGCUGUACCUUUAAGUGUUAGGAUACAAACAGUUUCUUGCCAGUGAUCACCCUGUUUCCGGACUUGGGAGCAGGAUUGUAUUAAGGGCAUCCUGCAAUGGACAGUGGGUGUGCUUGCUUAGCCAGAGCGUUGUGCGUGGCAUGUGCAGUGCGUCCAUAAACCUUGUCUACCAUGCCGUGUGGUUGCACAGUCAAGUACAUCUUCAGACUGUGACGAGUAUAAAGUAUCGAGUAUAUUUAUUACGGACUCCUGUGUUUAGCCCUGGUUGUGUGUGUGUGUGUGUGUGUGUGUGUGUGUGUGUGUGUGUGUCUGUGUGUGUGUGUGUCUGUGUGUGUCUGUGUGUUAAUGGAGUGGUUUGGUUUCUCGUUGACAUCUGUGAUUUGCCACUGCCCAUUAGCGAGGUGAGCUGCUUUGGGUACUUGGAUCUGCUACCAGGAAGGCUGGCGCUUUUGCAUAAGCAGGGUAGUGUCUCAGAGAGCUGUGAAUAUGCUUCAAGUUCUAGCUUUGCCACAGUUACUGGACUCAUUUCUCCACCUGUUACUUAGUGCUAGCAUAUAAUACUGAGCUAUUCUGUUGGGCACUCUGUGUGUGUGUGUGUGUGUGUGUGUGUGUGUGUGUGUGUUGCGAUUACAUGAUUGCCCUUUGAAACAAUAGGUUGCUAGGCAUUGUGGCACAUGCUUGUAUUGCUAGCAUUUGGGAAACUGAACAGGAGGAUCAUCAGUUUGAAAUCAGUCAGGAGCAUAGUGAGCUGGUCUACACAAGACAGAUACAUACACAAACACACACACAGACACAUACACACACAGGGAAAAAGCUGGUCUAUACAAGGAACACGGGUGCACGUGUGCACACACAUACACACACACAGGGAAAAAGGGAAAGAAGAAGAAGCACAACUGAGAGAACAGAGGAGGGAAGGAGCAGGCGACAUUAAGAACUGAGAGGUGGCUCAGCGGUUAAGAGCACUGACUGCUCUUCCAGAGGUCCUGAACAAUCCCAGCACCCACAUGGUGGUUCACAACCAUCUGUAAUGAGAUCUGACGCCCUCUUCUGGAGUGUCUGAAGACAGCUACAGUGUACUUACAUAUAAUAAAUAAAUAAAUCUUUAAAAAGAAAAAGAAGAAAAGGAAAAAGAAAAAGAAAAAAGAACUGCCUUCCAAAUCAUGAGAGCCUAGAACCAUUGACUUCACAGCUCCAGCCAAGGAGAAUAAGGGUGACAAGAGUCAGGACUGUGAGCUUGGAGGCGUCCUGUGAGCCAACAAGUUAGGGUGCAGAUAAAUGCCCUGCUAGGCAACCAAUGCUCCCCUUCUCUGCUCUGGGACCCCACUCCAGAGAGCCUCACCCCACACCUCCCAGAAGUGCCUCCUCCCAGAAGGAGGUCCCCUGUGUGCUCCAUCCUCCCCAGCUCUGUUCUGUCAUUGCCUAUGCCUUUCCAUGGCGGACACUAAGGUUUGGAAAGAGCAGUAUGCCUGCCUCAGAAACAUGAGGUGUGCCCCGAGUGUGUGUGCUUGCAGGUCAGAAGGCAACACCCAGGAAUUGUCUUUCUCUCCACCAUGUGGGUUCUGGAGAUCAAACUCGAGUUAUCAGGCUUGAGGCAAACACCUUUACCUGCUGAGACAUCUUGCUGGCCCAUUAUUUAUAAAGAUUCACUAUUUUCCAAAGUAAUAUAGACUCUGGUAAGAUAUGAAUGCAUAUAUAUAUUCACAUUGCAUGUAGGGAAUCAGAUUGUGUCAGUGAGGGUAAGUGACCCCAUUCCCUGGGGAACUACACUUUACAUUCGGUACCAUCUCAGGCCCUUUCAUCUAAGUACAGAUGUACAGUUUUGCUCUAAUGAAUACAUUCAUUCUUUACAGUGUAUAACAAGGCAGCUUUUUUAACAUCUGGUCCUCAGAAUCCUUGUCUGUGUAAUGAACAUAAAAGGUCUAUUCUAGUUUGCUUUCUGCCUAGGGAUGAUACCCCCCACAGCGGGCUGAGCCCUCUUACGUGAUAAAAACUCCCCACGGGUAUUCGGUUAUCAGCUUGAGAUGCAGCAGCAGCUUCCCUGUACCACAGCUUCUGUGUGCGGACCCUGAGGACUUUGUCUCAAUGAUGCUGGUCUCUUCUUCAUCACACCUGAUUUCUCAGCCCUGAUUAGCAAGCACCAAUUGUCCCAGUAAAGCAAAGCGUCCACAGAUUAUUAAAAAAAAACUUUAAAAAAUUAUUAAUUUUAUAUAUGUGAGUACACUGUCACUCUCUUCAGACACACCAGAAGAGGGCAUUGUAUCUCAUUACAGGUGGUUGUGGGUCACCAUGUGGUUACUGGGAAUUGAACUCAGGACCUCUGGAAGAGCAGCCAGUGCUCUUAACCAAUGAGCCAUCUCGCCAACACUUCCACAGAUUCUUUUUUUGUUUUGUUUUGUUUUGUUUUUGGUUUUCGAGACAGGGUUUCUCUGUGCAGCCCUGGCUGUCCUGGAACUCACUUUGUAGAUCAGGCUGGCCUGGAACUCAGAAGUCCGCCUGCCUCUGCCUCCCAAGUGCUGGGAUUAAAGGCGUGCACUCACUCUUCCACAGAUUCUUAAUCUAAAAUAUCAUACAAUUAGCCCUGAGGGGAUGUCAUCGGCCAGGUCUCCACUGUCUACAUUUCUCUUAGCAUUAUCUUAUCUUCCAGCUUCCCACAGAUCAUCAACUCUGAGCACUUCGUGGUUCUUCCCACUCAAAGUUCCAAAUACACACUUCUCAAAAAUAACAAAAACAAACAAACCAACCAACCCCAAACAACAAGGCCUACAGUCAUGUCUGUCAUAGCCAUACCCCUGUUUUCUGGUACCCAUUUCUGUCUAGUUAGGUUUCUAUUGCUUUUGAUAAACACCGUGGCUAAAAAACAACAUGUGAGGGAGAGGAUUUAUUUUAGCUUACAGGCUACAGUUCAUCCUUGGGGAUGCUAAGACAGUAGCUCAAGGCAGGGGUUUAAAGCAGAAAACACUGUUUAGUGCCUUACUCACUGGAUCGUGUUAAGCAGCCUCUCCAGGCCUACUCACCGGAGAUGGUUUUCCCACGCCAACUGGACACUCCUACAUCAAUUGGCAAUCAAGAAAAUACCUGCAUAGACAUGGCCAUAAAUCAAUCAAGUGGAAGCAUAAGUACCAUCUUGCUGUCUCAUUGAUACCAUAAAGCUGCCUUCAAACUAGGUCAACCCAGAAGGCAGAAAAACUGAUGCAUAUUAGAAAAAAAAAAAAAAAAAAAAA